rnacentral:lncRNA from 1 species
GCAAUCACGGCCACAGCCCCACUUUUUUUUUUCCUUUCCUUUCUUUCUCUUUCCCAGCUGCAACUGCCGCAGUCGCAGUCGCAGCCAUGGCCGCAGCCACCACAACCGCAGCCUCUUCUUCCUCCCCUGCUCUAUUUCCUCUCCUUCUCUUCCGAUUGCAGCUGCCACUACCGCAACUACCUCCCCUUCUCCUCUUCCUCUCUUCUUCCCUUUUCCUUUCUUUUCUUCUUCCUUUCCUUCUCUUCUUUCCCAGCUGCACUGCUACAGUCGCAGCCUCAGCCACAGCCACAGCCUCUUCUUCCUCCCUGCUCAUCUUCCUCUCCUUCUCUUCCAACUGCAGCUGCCAUCGCCACAGCCGCAGCCCCUUUUCUUCUUCCUCUCCUUCCCUUC